ensembl:lncRNA
CUCGAAUCUGGCUGCACAAAUCCCUCCUCCUCCAAGAAAGGGAGAAAAAAAAUCCCAUCACAUUGGUAAAAAUAAUAUAUGAGGGGUAGUGGCUCUGGGGGUGGGGAAGGGAGAAGAGACCUUAAAAGGCCCCCAUCUCCCAUGGAUGAGAGUUAAAUAGUUUCAGGAUGGGGCUGCAACUUUCCUUUGCUCUGUUGGAGGGAAAAGACACUGAGCUCUGCUGCUAGGAACCAAAGUCUCACUUUGCUCUUGUGACUUAUCUCGUGAUUCUGGGGGCUUUUAAGACACUUCUUCUAAAUAAAAACUGGCAGACGAAGAGGCAGGACAAUGUCCAAGCACCAGGGACAGUCAGAGAUGGAGAAGAUUGGUUGGUUGGUUGGUUUUUUUUGCUCUAUUUGAGAUCCAAACCUUCAGAGCAGCUGCAGGAGAGGAGACUGUUGUCAAGGGCGCGAGACACAGACACUGCUCAAAGGAGAGCCAUAAACCAAAGGCAAAGGUCCCCGGACAAGGGCCAGGGGCAGAGGGAGAGGAGUGCUUACAGCCGUCCCCUUCCAAUGGAAGUGAAGCAGAAUUUGCUCUCAUGCUUUUUCCCAGCCUGGAUUUCUGGUGAUUCUUUACAAUUAAUUUCACCUCUUUUCCCUACCAAGCUCCAGAACAUGUGAUUAAUCAGAAGGAAAAGCAGCAAGAACAGCAAACCGACGUAUCUAUGGAGUUUCUCUGGUUCUCUGCUGCCAACUGAGGGGCUCUCCCCACCUUCAUGGACGUCCCAGGGAUGUUUCAGAAGCCGAAAAUGCCUCUGGGUGGAAUCAGAAUUCAACUCCAGUCAGUCUGAAAAUCCUGCAGCUUAAGGGCAGGUCGUGAACCGGCUCCCAUUGCAAGGUUUGAACGUUUACAUUCAUGCUAAUUUCGGAGGGAUCUCUCAUUGGGAAAUGUAACCCGGAGAGAGAUGGAAAGAGGGUUAAGAAAAGAAAUGAAACCGUGUCCUGGGAGUCGGGUUGUAAAAAGGCUGUUACCUGGUAGUUUUCAGGCUCAGGCGCUAUAAAGUGACUUUUACAAGGAAGGGUUCUGUUUGAAGGCAUGAGGGCCGUGGGGAACGCGGCAGAAGGUCGGACGGGAGCGGGGUGCCCCGACGGCACAGCUCUGUAGUGCGUGCUGGCAGUGAGCCUCGAGAGGCGGCGGUUUGGGGCUGUUUUGUGUGAUUGCAUCCCCUGCAAAGGGCCGUUGUUUGUCGGGGACUUUUGGGUUAAUCUUUUCCGACCAAGCACAGAUUUUUUUGUUAAAAAACAAAACAACACAUUCGGAGCGAAUCUUCAUUCCUUCUAGCCGAGAUAUCCUGCGCCUCAAUCCUCGACUUUCCCCUUAAAGGUUCUAUGCCUAUUUCUCCUUCCUUUUCCUCCUCCCCAGUUCCCCGACGGCUCUCGGUUCUGGAAAAAGGCUGAGGACAAGUGCAAGGAGAGGGGCCGGGGCUGCUGUCUGCCUUUGCCCCCGGGCGGGGUGGAGGCACCGCGGGCUGCCAGUGUGCAAAGCGAGCCUGGACUUUGGCCCAUAGGGGAAAGGACAGGGACGAGUCUGCACGGAAAAGCCCCCCCGCCUCCCCGAGGGGUCACAGUGCAGGAUCAGACCCUGAAGGAGGAAUUAUAUUCUUUAUUAAUGGAGGAUUUUUGGCUACGUUCCCCAUUGCUGUACAAAAGGCUGUUGAAAGAGCAAGUGGGAAAGCGAUUGGAAGAGAAGAGAGGCAGAAAGGCGCUGAAAUGGGGGAAAACCCCCGACUUCGUAGCACCCAGCUGCUGCAAUCCGGGUGCUGCGCUCAGUCCUGGGAGCAUCGGGAAAGGAGACCACAGAAAAGAGAGCAAAGACCCCUCCGGGUCUCGGAGAGCUUCGAAAAAAGUCUCCUCUCUCUUCCUCUCCAUAUGUAUGAAUUUUCGGUUUAUACCUCUAAUUUCCAAAAGCUUUUAAAUCCCUUCGAUUACCCUUUCUAUAAUAACUGCCCAUUAGUAGCUACUAAAAUCCGCUCCGUUUUAUUUUUUGAGUAUGUGCCGCGAAUACAGAACCAGUUGCGGUUAUAAACCAUCUCCUCCCAUCAUGAGCUUGAACAGAUUUCCAGCACUCCUUUCCCUCAGGCUUAAUUCCAGAAGGAGAUGCGGAUUACUAACGAAGAGAUUGGAUUAAAGAGAUUCUAACGAAGAACCAAUUUUCCCCUUUUUCUUCUCGCUCUCGGCUCGAGCCAUUUUGGAAACGGUGCCUCCAACCACCGGGAACCCGCUGAGUUGCUGUAGGGAUUUGGGGUUUUUAUGUUUGGUUGCGUUGUUGUUGCGUUGUUUGUUUGUUUUUCCCUUGGCAAUUGCAGCCCUGCAGAGGAUUGCGCCACAAAGCGCAUUUUUUUUUUUCUUAGAGACAAAAUGAAUCCCCGGUGAUUGUUAAAUUGCAGUGCGAGGCCAGGCAGCUAAUCCAGUGUAUAAAUCCUAUUCGGAGCAGGCUGGGUGCGGCUUCCUGAGCCGGGCAAGCUCCAGAGCUAACCCCACAAUGGGGAUCUGCGUGUCACCUCCCGGCUCCUCCUUGUGUGUCCCGACGCGACAAGUGGUUUUUCCAUUCCCAAAAGCACCGCAGCCUUAUUGCAUGUAACAUACAAAAUUCCCCUCCCCUGCACGUAGACUUGUACAGCCCGAGGGCAAAUGGACUGCGGGUACGUGAGGAUUUGUCCCAUGGGGCUGCGGGGACAGAGCUGAGCCCUCCCCUAUGGCAAAAGCUUCGGGCUGAGCGCACGCAGUUGGGCUUGGCUUUGGAUUUUUUGGGGAUGGGUUUUCGUGCCUCGGUAUAACCAAGGGGUUUUGUUUCACCUCCGAAAGGGUUUUCUCAAAAUAGCCCCCAUACCAAAAAUGGGGAGGCUGGAAAUAGCGGUGUGAGUAAACGCGUCGGAGUGGAGGAGCGGGGAGGAACAACGGGAAAGUCGGCGUGAGCCGCAGCCGCGCGUCCUCGUAUUAAAAAAUACGCGGCGGCAGCAGCGGCACCCCCCCCCCCCCUCUUCCCCCCCCGCAAAGCGGUGAAGUUUCCCAUUAAAAUUGACACCAGGGGAUGGUCUUAGCAGCCUCGUCCGCCCCGGAUUGGUGAGCCCCGCCGGAAGCCGCCUGCACACGCAUUUUCUAACAGAUAAGUCAAUCGGCAGAGACUUGCCCCCCUCUCCCCCCCCCACCUUAUCCCAAAAUACCGUUUUCGCAAAGCCGGAGCCCACCAGUCACCCGGCAGCUCCCAGCACUCCCCUCUCCGCCACCCACCCUCGGCUCCUUAGCUCUAAAGGAGGGGGAUGAGGGGAUGUUUCCCCCCUCGCACCUCCUUUGGGGGUGCAAAAGGGUCGGCAGCAGCCGGCACCGGGGGUCCCGCACCCAGCCACCCCUCCGGGCCCGCAGCUUCCCCGGUGCCGCAUAACCUCUGUCCUCAGUCGGCUCUGGGAUGACGUGGCUUCGCACCCACCGCAAUUGGGGAUUUCGAGGUGUCCGUUCUGCUGGAGGCUCCUUAUGGACCGGGGGGAAAUAAAAAGAGAAGAUAGGCCUUUUCUUUUUUGUCGCGGCACGAAAUACCGUCUUUAGGCAAGGGUCUAAAGAUGCUAAAACGGCACCAGAAAUCGAAGCGUUUUAAUACAAAGCCUCGAUGAAUGGCGUUGAUAUGGGAAGGGCCCUUGAAAUCGGCUUUCCGGAGGAGAAAGAGAAGAUUGACCUUACCUGGAGAAGCAGCUGUGUGGGGAUGGUGAAAAUCCCCUCCUCGUGGUAACUGCCCCGAUUGCGACGUGAUGCGCAGUUCUGCGCUAAGAGGCAGCGAGAAACUGCUGUUCGUCCAACACAUUUCCCACGAGUUGCUCUCCUGCCAAGGUCCCGUCUGCCCCAUAUCGGCCCGACUCGGGGUGUGUGUGUGUAGGGGGGGGGGGGGGGCAAAAGCGGUGCGGAAAGAGCCCGUCUGAAAGAAUCUCCCCCUUUUCUUUUAUUACUGCACAUUCUUUUAUCGCUGCACGUUUUACAGAAACUCUCCCUCCAGAACUUAAUUCUCGUACCUGUGCCCUUUUCCCACCCUACUGCCUUGCCUCGGUGUGGUGGAGGCAGAUCCCUCCCAGACUUCAGACGAUUUUUGGGGUGGGGGUGGAGGGGUUCCCCACUAUCUGGCGGUGACCCCACAGCAGAUCGUCGCGGGGGACCCAGCAGCAGUAGGGUAUAAAACCCCCAAACCGGCGGCAGUGGGAGCGAAGCGAUCGCCCAGCUAUUGCGUGGGAGCUCGAUAUGAUUUCAUGGAGGGAGGCGAGGAGGGGGGAGGAUUAGUCUGGUAGCUAAAAUGUGGGCUCCUGAACAACAAUCCAACUUUAUUUUAACUUUCUCUCCUCCGGCUUCCCCUUUCCAAAGCGCAUACGCUUUUACUUUACAGGGGACCGAAAUGCUUUAUUAACUGCUGAGAUUACAAACCUCAUUUGGAAUUGUGUUUUUUAGCCGGAGUAUACUUUCGGCUCUUGGAAAAUUGCCCACAUGUGUAACUUGUUUUUGCUUCUCUUCAGACAAGGAAUUCCGCCUCCCCCCCACCUCACCCCCCCCCCUUCUUCUCACCACUUACGGAUUUUUAACAGACGGCCGCAUUCAAACUGAGGGCUAGCACAGGAAAUGGCAAAGGUAGAACCCUCUUCUUUCAGGCUACAGAAACUUAUUUCACAUUUUUUAUUAAAAAAAAAAAAGAAAGAAAGAAAGAAAAAAAAAGGAGUUUUACUCCUCAAGAGGGAUUUUUGUUCCGCUCUCGUGAGUUCGGGGGGGUUUGGGACUGAAGUUUUCUCUCUUAGAUCCGCGUAAAUGCGUUGUUUGGGAAUUAUGAGCGCUUUAAGCUGGGGUUUUAUUACUGUUUCCCCGUUUUAAAAUAUUUCUAUUAUUAUUAAUAAUUAUUAUUAUUAUUUCGGCAUACUUUUCAUAUCCGAAAUUAACGCUCAGCCCUUUGAAGGCUGAGUGAUUUCUGAAUCUGGUCUCCAGACACCCCAUAGCCGCGAGGUUCGCUCUCAGCUGUUAUCCCCUCUUGCAUAUCCUUAUCGCCUUCAAAACCCAACGUGCAAAAGAAGAGUGAACGUAUCCAAGUAACGCACACUGCACACCGCCUCGAAACCGUGAUAGGACCCCCCCCGUCCCAUCCCAGCACAGCAGAAAGCUCCGCACCCCCGGAUCCCCCCCCCACCUCCUUCAUCUCAAUGCUAAAGCAUCUGGAAAAGGAAGGUGCCAAUUCUAAUAAACGAUAACAACUGCCCUUAACAAUAGUAAAAGUGCUUAAAUAUGUUGCCGGCCAAAAAUAAAUAAAAAUAAAUAAAUAGGAUCGUCCGCUCUUUUAUUUUUCUGAUGCCAAAACUUCCACAUCAGCAAAAGAUGGCAGUGGAGCAGAGACCUGAAAGCUGCAUCUUGUGAAGGCGUUUUGUGUUUGGUCGCUGGCGGUGCAGCAAUACCGACCCGAGGAGCUGUUUCUUAAGGAUGAAUUUUUGCAGCUGUGUGUUUCAAAGGGGAGCGCUGUGUGGAAUUGGUUCCCUCUCCCUACAAACAAGAAAGAUUAUUUAUAAACAACAUCUGAGCUAGGAAGCCUCUGGGUUUCCGUUGCAAGCUGACAACACUCCCAGUUUUUUUCCUCACAGGCAAAGAAUACACUUGGCACUGAUUCUGAGAGCAGCAAAAAGUUUCCACUUCGGACUUUUUUUAGGGGGGGAACUGUUUCUAGUUCCACUUUACCGACCAGCAAUAAACCCAUACCUCAAGUGAAGGCAGCCGGUGUGCAAAGCGAGCACAGCUCGCACACCCUGGCUGCUCUAACCCAAAAACUCAUCCCGAAAUUGACUCCCCGAGGUCCCUUUCUCCCCGGCUUUUCCUCCUCUGAGUUUUUUGUUUUUUGUUUUUUGUUUUUUUUUUUUUUUUUCUCAAAGAGAAGAGCCUUUCAUACCAUUUCUUUCGGGGUCUAUUUGAGGCUUUCAUGUAUGAAGUCACAGGAAACAGACAGCACCACGCGAGCGGGGCUCCCAGAUCUGGGAUGGAGCGGCUGCUCGCCUGGAGUCCCUCUCAGCAAAGGUUACAAAGAGAUGAGCUAUGGGAAUAUGCAUCAAAAAUAAACUACUGAACAAACGGAAACCUCCAGAGGAGCGAAAGCAAAUGGAUUUGGCAGAUCAUCUUGUGAGGUUUCCAUCCACCAGGGAUCUGAGAACUCCUGCUCUUUGCCUCACAGCCACACUCCUAAGAGUCUUCUUGGUCUGAAUUUAUAUACUACAGAAGAUUAUAUACUCACAUGCUGACACAGUUCAUCAUUAUUUAUAGGAGGCGCACCAGGAUUUUUUUUUUUUCCCAAGAAUAUAUUUAUUACAGGUAAGACACAGCCAAUCUAUCUAGCAAACAGAGAACAGGUGUUUUGCUUCAAUUAACGUUCAAUAAUUUUAUCUAUACUUAUUCAACACCCCGAUGCCAACACGGCUGUUUAUCCAUCACUUGUAUAAACACAUUUCCACGAGCCAGGAGAGUUUAAUCUCCAGAACUCGCUUAAAUCAGCCCUUCCCUUUUCCAAGCUCUCAUAACAUUUUCAGAGUCCCUCCGAAUCUGUUGUGAAAUAGGCUGAUGUAAUAAAAAGAGUAAAGUCUGGAAGGCAAUAAAGCGGAGGACGAUGGCAAUCCGAGCAAGCAGCUCGCAUUGCAUGGCUGAUGACACGGGAUCCCUUAAGUUCAAAAACUCCGUAACGAGUUAAAGGGAAGAGCAAAUAAGAGUAGUUGGGGAAAGCAGGAAUUCCUCCCGUCGCUCGCCCUGGUCUGGGAGAUCAGCGAUCCUGCCCCACGCUGCUCACUUGUAGGGAUUUCUCUGCCUUCCCCAGUUUAAAUGCAAAGGGAUGAAGUGGGGUUACUUUGGAUGCACCCCACAGAAAGGAUAGGAAGGUUUGUCGGGCGGUGAGGACUCACCUGGUCACAUUUACUCGCGACGGUCUUUGCAAGAGCUUAACUCAGAGCUCACCUUGGCUGGAGCCCGAGACUGCCUCUGCUCUUCCAGACCAGGGAGCGUUUUGCUCUGGCUGGGGGUGGGGUGGGGGGGCUCUUAUUACCCUGAUUGAUGUAAAAAUUAAAAAUAAAUCCGAUCUCCGGCACUGGACUCGGCUCUCUCUGCCCAUCAUCCCGACCCUCUCGAUUAGUUCUGUUUUUAAAUGAAAAUGGACAGCUUCUUCCCAGCGCCUCUUGCAGAGGGUCUCUGCUUCUCGAUGCGGGGAAUUGUCCCUUCAUCACGCUGCGGGGCAUCGAAAAACACCGCUGAUGGGAAUAAGGGAGAACCUAACAAUUUGGGUGUCGGGUUUUUAGCGCCUUAAUGAUCACCCCGUAUCAGUAUAACACCUCUGAUAGUAAAUUCAUACAUAGGUUUUGUACAGACGAGCACAUAGGAGUCAUAUACACACACAUACGGUAUCACAAGAGAGAGAUGCGAAAUACGCUUUUCCUUGAUUUCAGGUGGCUAUUAGCACCCUCCGAUGUUAUUAUUAGCCCGUUAAUACAGGCUAUAUAAUACUUACAUCCCUAUAUACCUCAGGAAGGAUUCGCGAUGAUUUAUCAUUCCUAGAAAUCUCUUUGCCCUUCACAUUAAAUAUCCUUCUGUGUUGGGGUGAGAGGAAGAAGGGCGGAGGGGCAAUAGAUUAAAGGAGGCGAAUUGAUCCAGACUGUUACAGCUGAAGUCCAGAAAACACUUUUGCCCUAAUCACACCGCGCACCUUUUCCUUAACCAACAUUUACGACGCCAUCAGAUCAUCUCGCAGUAAACGCAUUUGUCAUAAUAAGUCGGGAAAACUGACCCCGUUACCCCGCAUCGCCGGGCGGGACCCGCACCGAACCGGAGCCGCGCGUCAAUCAUCGCGUCCAGGGCUGGAAAAAAAAAAAAAAAAAAGAGAGAAAUAAAAAUUAUAAUUCUAAUUAAAAUGAAGCCGAAAUGAG